CCAGAUGGGAUUAGCUUGUUGGUGAGGUAACGGCUCACCAAGGCGACGAUCCCUAGCUGGUCUGAGAGGAUGACCAGCCACACUGGAACUGAGACACGGUCCAGACUCCUACGGGAGGCAGCAGUGGGGAAUAUUGCACAAUGGGCGCAAGCCUGAUGCAGCCAUGCCGCGUGUAUGAAGAAGGCCUUCGGGUUGUAAAGUACUUUCAGCGGGGAGGAAGGUGUUGUGGUUAAUAACCGCAGCAAUUGACGUUACCCGCAGAAGAAGCACCGGCUAACUCCGUGCCAGCAGCCGCGGUAAUACGGAGGGUGCAAGCGUUAAUCGGAAUUACUGGGCGUAAAGCGCACGCAGGCGGUCUGUCAAGUCGGAUGUGAAAUCCCCGGGCUCAACCUGGGAACUGCAUUCGAAACUGGCAGGCUUGAGUCUUGUAGAGGGGGGUAGAAUUCCAGGUGUAGCGGUGAAAUGCGUAGAGAUCUGGAGGAAUACCGGUGGCGAAGGCGGCCCCCUGGACAAAGACUGACGCUCAGGUGCGAAAGCGUGGGGAGCAAACAGGAUUAGAUACCCUGGUAGUCCACGCCGUAAACGAUGUCUACUUGGAGGUUGUGCCCUUGAGGCGUGGCUUCCGGAGCUAACGCGUUAAGUAGACCGCCUGGGGAGUACGGCCGCAAGGUUAAAACUCAAAUGAAUUGACGGGGGCCCGCACAAGCGGUGGAGCAUGUGGUUUAAUUCGAUGCAACGCGAAGAACCUUACCUGGUCUUGACAUCCACGGAAGUUUUCAGAGAUGAGAAUGUGCCUUCGGGAACCGUGAGACAGGUGCUGCAUGGCUGUCGUCAGCUCGUGUUGUGAAAUGUUGGGUUAAGUCCCGCAACGAGCGCAACCCUUAUCCUUUGUUGCCAGCGGUCCGGCCGGGAACUCAAAGGAGACUGCCAGUGAUAAACUGGAGGAAGGUGGGGAUGACGUCAAGUCAUCAUGGCCCUUACGACCAGGGCUACACACGUGCUACAAUGGCGCAUACAAAGAGAAGCGACCUCGCGAGAGCAAGCGGACCUCAUAAAGUGCGUCGUAGUCCGGAUUGGAGUCUGCAACUCGACUCCAUGAAGUCGGAAUCGCUAGUAAUCGUGGAUCAGAAUGCCACGGUGAAUACGUUCCCGGGCCUUGUACACACCGCCCGUCACACCAUGGGAGUGGGUUGCAAAAGAAGUAGGUAGCUUAACCUUCGGGAGGGCGCUUACCACUUUGUGAUUCAUGACUGGGGUGAAGUCGUAACAAGGUAACCGUAGGGGAACCUGCGGUUGGAUCACCUCCUUACCUUAAAGAAGC
rnacentral:rRNA from 1 species